rnacentral:rRNA from 1 species
GAUGAACGCUAGCUACAGGCUUAACACAUGCAAGUCGAGGGGCAGCAGGGAUUUAGCUUGCUAAAUUCGCUGGCGACCGGCGCACGGGUGCGUAACGCGUAUCCAACUUUCCCGUUACUCUCGGAUAGCCUUCCGAAAGGGAGAUUAAUACGAGAUGGUGUUCUAAUUUCGCAUGUUAUUAGAACUAAAGAUUUAUCGGUAACGGAUAGGGAUGCGUGACAUUAGAUAGACGGCGGGGUAACGGCCCGACCGUGGCUACGAUGUCUAGGGGUUCUGAGAGGAAGGUCCCCCACACUGGAACUGAGACACGGUCCAGACUCCUACGGGAGGCAGCAGUGAGGAAUAUUGGUCAAUGGUCUGACGACUGAACCAGCCAUGCCGCGUGAAGGUCACGGCCCUAUGGGUCUUAAACUUCUUUUGCGUAGGGAGCAAUAAGGUCUACGUGUAGUCCGAUGAGAGUACCUCGCGAAUAAGCAUCGGCUAACUCCGUGCCAGCAGCCGACGG